AUUGAACGCUGGCGGCAGGCCUAACACAUGCAAGUCGAGCGGAUGAAGGGAGCUUGCUCCUGGAUUCAGCGGCGGACGGGUGAGUAAUGCCUAGGAAUCUGCCUGGUAGUGGGGGAUAACGUCCGGAAACGGGCGCUAAUACCGCAUACGUCCUGAGGGAGAAAGUGGGGGAUCUUCGGACCUCACGCUAUCAGAUGAGCCUAGGUCGGAUUAGCUAGUUGGUGGGGUAAAGGCCUACCAAGGCGACGAUCCGUAACUGGUCUGAGAGGAUGAUCAGUCACACUGGAACUGAGACACGGUCCAGACUCCUACGGGAGGCAGCAGUGGGGAAUAUUGGACAAUGGGCGAAAGCCUGAUCCGCCAUGCCGCGUGUGUGAAGAAGGUCUUCGGAUUGUAAAGCACUUUAAGUUGGGAGGAAGGGCAGUAAGUUAAUACCUUGCUGUUUUGACGUUACCAACAGAAUAAGCACCGGCUAACUUCGUG
rnacentral:rRNA from 1 species